ACGGUCAAAAAAUGUCAUAGUAUAGUAAUGUGUCAAAAAAUAUCAAAAAAUGUCAUAGUAUAGUAAGGCGUCAAAAAAUGUGAAAAAUGUCAUAGUAUAGUAAGGUGUCAAAAAUGGUCAAAAAAUUUCAUAGUAUAGUAAGGCGUCAAAAAAUGUGAAAAAAUGUCAUAGUAUAGUAAGGCGUCAAAAAAUGUGAAAAAAUGUCAUAGUAUAGUAAGGCGUCAAAAAAUGUGAAAAAAUGUCAUAGUAUAGUAAGGCGUCAAAAAAUGUGAAAAAAUGUCAUAGUAUAGUAAGGUGUCAAAAAUGGUCAAAAAAUUUCAUAGUAUAGUAAGGCGUCAAAAAAUUUGAAAAAAUGUCAUAGUAUAGUAAGGUGUCAAAAACAGUCAAAAAAUUUCAUAGUAUAGUAAGGUGUCAAAAAAUGUGAAAAAAUGUCAUAGUAUA